CCGCUGCCGCCGCCGGGGGUGGGAGCCGCGCUCGCCCGCCCGCCCCUCGACUCGCGAGGGCGUAAAAGUUUGUCUCAGCUCGAGCAUUCCUAGCGCCAACACGCCCUCAGGUAAAGGUGGAAGUAAAUGGCCACGCUGUAUUGACAGAGCAGGUAGAUGAAACUCAAGAGAAAAGGUGUGGAUAAAUGAAACUAGCCCAUGAUGAACCUGUUUUCUCCGUGACCACAAUAUUAACCAGGAUGAAUGGCGGUGGCAGUGGGCCUGCAUCACAGGUUGCAGCAGAUGUUCUCAAUAUUUCUAUUAAAAUUUCCUUAUUUCCAUAUGCAAGAGGAGCCCCAGAGCUGCAUCCUUAUGGUAGCUACCAUGCCGUGAUGUAAGCUGCCAUUCACUGGGGAGCUUUGGCAAUAGAAUUGGCUAGAUCAGGAAGCCUAUGUCAACUAUGGAACAACAACUUGCAGCUCAUCUCUAUUGAUGGAAACAGUCGCAAAUGGAAUUCCAAGAAACAUUCUAUAGAUACACUGCCUCUAGGACUGGGACAGAUAGCCACUGAGUACCUGCUUCAAAUCACCCUGCACGUUUUCUCUUUGGAAAGAUAAGCACUGGAGAACCAUCUCGUUACCUUCAGCAGAAAUGGAAACAAAUCAAGACAUUAAGAAUGCCGCAGUGGACAGCAGUUAUGCAAGGUUCAGCAGAGGAAGUUUUCAAGAUGGUGUGCCUCACUAGCCAGAAAUCAGAAAAGAUCGAAGCUAGCCUUUUCAUCUCAGCUGCUCCUUAAAUCAGUGCAACCCCUCCAAAUUAAUGUGAAUUGAAACUUGCAUUGCUUUUCAACUUAAUUGAAUACUUACUAUAUGUGAACCACUGCACAAAAUAGGGGAAGAAGAUGUGGGAGACAAAGAUGUGGAGCCUGUCUUCAAUAAAUUUACAGUUAGUUUCAGGGUACAUUGUUUUUCUUCUGCUGUUAAUUAGGUGUAUCCCCAAGACAAUAAAUACAUGAAUGGAAAAGUA
rnacentral:lncRNA from 10 species